CACGUAGGGCGCAAGCGUUGUCCGGAAUUACUGGGCGUAAAGCGUGCGCAGGCGGUUUCUUAAGUCAGAUGUGAAAGCCCCGGGCUUAACCUGGGAACUGCGUUUGAAACUGGGAGACUUGAGUGUGGCAGAGGGGGGUGGAAUUCCACGUGUAGCAGUGAAAUGCGUAGAUAUGUGGAGGAACACCGAUGGCGAAGGCAGCCCCCUGGGUUAACACUGACGCUCAUGCACGAAAGCGUGGGGAGCAAACAGG
rnacentral:rRNA from 1 species